UAAUAUUUACACAACCCAGAGUGGGCUGUGGGUGUCACAGCUAGCUUUGCCUGCUCUGCAGGAGUCUUGGGCUCUGUCUGCUUGACCCGGCCUUAUCAAUGCCCUUUGUACCUCAUUUGAGAUCAGCAUAGAGACAAAAUCCACAGCCAAAUCAACAUAGUCAAGAUCUGUGACAGUUACUGAGGCCACUAAAUAGCUGAGCUAGCUUUUCAACUUCCAUUUCUGUGAAAUUACGCUCAGGAAAUCAUAGAAGAGGAGAAAAAUGGCAAAGCAAGAGGGGGCUUGCUGCACCAUUUUCUUCAGAGAAGGGAAGAUGCGGCAGCUUUCCUUCCAAAGACCCCGGCAAAAAGCGAAGAGUAACCGAGCUGCUAGAACUACGGCCAGGAGUACCAGGAAGCCGUCCCAAAGAUUCAUUCGAAAGCAUUUUCCAUGAAGACUGGGCAGAAUACAGAGAGUGUUAAAGCCUAGGACUGCACACUAAAAUGUACGAAAGCUUACUGAAGCCCUAUGCUUGCCUGACCAGGAAGGGGAAGCGCUGAGAAUAAGACUUAGGAUGGGUUUGAACCUUUCUGGGGUGAAAAUUCACCGGAUAGUGACGACCAACUUCUCUCUGGCCUCCACAAGUGACAGACUAUAGAGCGCAGUCACAAGUGCACGCCCCCAUUCCCCUCAGGAGCAGCUCUCCACUCGUGUUGACUUUGGAGGAAAACAUCCCCAGGACUCAGGUCAAGCCCAAUGAAGCGGCAUGUUCUGACCUGCUCUGGUCCCCCUGCAGGUGUCUUGGGGAGAGCAAUCCCAGCAGGAACUAAACUUUGACUUACAAGUAUGGCCAGGUUACCGGCACCUUGCUCUUGCUGAAAAAGAAUUCUGUCUGGCAGUUAAAAUAUCAGUACUGUUUCCUCCGCUCCCUAGUCCGACAUUAAGAACAAGACUAAUGCUGGGCGGUGGUGGCGCACGUCUUUAAUCCAAGCACUCGGGAGGCAGAGGCAGGCGGACCUCUGUGAGUUUGAGGCCAGCCUGGUCUAUAGAAUCGAGUUUCAGGACAGCCAGGGCUACACAGAGGAACCAUGUCUGGAAAACGCAAAAAAAGGAACCAGCCUCGGCACAGAAGGAAGAGAACUCAGUCCCUGUCCUUGGAGAGGCUCUCAUUUUUCCUCCAUGUGCAUUGGUGUUUUGCCUGCAUGUGUGUCUGUGUGGGGCUAUCAGGUCCCCUGGAACUGGAGUUACAGACAGUUGUGAGCUUCCAUGUGGGUGAUGGGAGUUGAACCCAGGUCCUCUGGAGAAGCAGUCAGUGCUCUUAACCACUGAGCCAUUUCUCCAGACCCUGGAAAGACUUUUAAUGUGUCCUGUUUAAAUGAUUUAAAAUGUUUACAUUGGCGGCUCUAAGGGACAAGUUUCCUUUUAUUUCCUCUGGGACUGUAUGAUCCAGUGGUGUUCUUUAAGAGUAUUGUUCAACUGAUCCGCUGUCACUAAGUAAAAUAGGACCGUUACACACCCUCAGAUUCUUAACCUUAAAAUGGUUUAUCUUAGAGCGAAGUUCAAAGAACAGCACUAACAACAUUGCCUCCCAGAAUCUUGUAAGAAACCUUCCAGUUUAGGGUUUUUAUGGGCGCUUUUCCUUCUGUUUCUUUGUCUUGUCCUACUUCAAUGUGUUUUUGUUUCAUCUUAUUAUAUUUUAUUUUGUUACAUUCUAA